rnacentral:sRNA from 1 species
UGACGUCGGCAAGGGCGCAGUUGCCCUGCU